GACGAACGCUGGCGGCGUGCUUAACACAUGCAAGUCGAACGAAGUGGCGAACGGGUGAGUAACGCGUAAUCAACCUGCCCUUCAGAGGGGGACAACAGUUGGAAACGACUGCUAAUACCGCAUACUGAAGGAGGGGAUUGCGUCUGAUUAGCUAGUUGGAGGGGUAACGUCCCACCAAGGCGAUGAUCAGUAGGCGGUCUGAGAGGAGUAACGGCCACAUUGGGACUGAGACACGGCCCAGACUCCGACGGGAGGCAGCAGUGGGGAAUCUUCCGACAUGGACGAAAGUCUUACGGAGCAACGCCGCGGUAGUUGUGGCGGCCUUCGGGUUGUAAAGCUCUUUUAAGCGGGACGCGGUACCGGAAUAGAAAGCCACGGCUAACUACGUGCCAGCCGCCGCGGUAAUAC
rnacentral:rRNA from 1 species